rnacentral:rRNA from 1 species
GACAUACCUCAACUGUUGCUUCGGCGGGUAGUCGUCCCCUGAAAAGGACGUCUCCCGGCCCCCUCCCGUCCGCGGGUGGGGCGCCCGCCGGAGGAUAACCAAACUCUGAUUUAACGACGUUUCUUCUGAGUGACACAAGCAAAUAAUCAAAACUUUUAACAACGGAUCUCUUGGUUCUGGCAUCGAUGAAGAACGCAGCGAAAUGCGAUAAGUAAUGUGAAUUGCAGAAUUCAGUGAAUCAUCGAAUCUUUGAACGCACAUUGCGCCCGCCAGCAUUCUGGCGGGCAUGCCUGUUCGAGCGUCAUUUCAACCCUCAAGCUCUGCUUGGUGUUGGGGCUCUACGGUUGACGUAGGCCCUCAAAGGUAGUGGCGGACCCUCCCGGAGCCUCCUUUGCGUAGUAACAUUUCGUCUCGCAUUGGGAUUCAGAGGGACUCUUGCCGUAAAACCCCCAAUUUAUCUAAGGUUGACCUCGGAUCAGGUAGGAAUACCCGCUGAACUUAAGCAUAUCAAUAA